AUCAUGCACUAGCUUGUUAUUUGAUUAUAUAUUGUGAAAUUUCUUUUGGGAAUGUAUCUUUUGUCAUAAUUGGAAUUGAAAGUGCAAGUCUACUAUUAAAAGGAUGCCCAUUGGAAUACCUACAAUCUGUCGUACACUUUCUUGACGAAACGUACAUGGAUGUGUUUAACGAGAAAUUGACAGCUUUAAAUAUUUCAUCACAGUUCUAGUAAG